rnacentral:rRNA from 1 species
GGCUCAGAUUGAACGCUGGCGGCAGGCCUAACACAUGCAAGUCGAGCGGUAGCACAGAGAGCUUGCUCUCGGGUGACGAGCGGCGGACGGGUGAGUAAUGUCUGGGAAACUGCCUGAUGGAGGGGGAUAACUACUGGAAACGGUAGCUAAUACCGCAUAACGUCGCAAGACCAAAGUGGGGGACCUUCGGGCCUCAUGCCAUCAGAUGUGCCCAGAUGGGAUUAGCUAGUAGGUGGGGUAACGGCUCACCUAGGCGACGAUCCCUAGCUGGUCUGAGAGGAUGACCAGCCACACUGGAACUGAGACACGGUCCAGACUCCUACGGGAGGCAGCAGUGGGGAAUAUUGCACAAUGGGCGCAAGCCUGAUGCAGCCAUGCCGCGUGUAUGAAGAAGGCCUUCGGGUUGUAAAGUACUUUCAGCGGGGAGGAAGGCGAUAAGGUUAAUAACCUUGUCGAUUGACGUUACCCGCAGAAGAAGCACCGGCUAACUCCGUGCCAGCAGCCGCGGUAAUACGGAGGGUGCAAGCGUUAAUCGGAAUUACUGGGCGUAAAGCGCACGCAGGCGGUCUGUCAAGUCGGAUGUGAAAUCCCCGGGCUCAACCUGGGAACUGCAUUCGAAACUGGCAGGCUAGAGUCUUGUAGAGGGGGGUAGAAUUCCAGGUGUAGCGGUGAAAUGCGUAGAGAUCUGGAGGAAUACCGGUGGCGAAGGCGGCCCCCUGGACAAAGACUGACGCUCAGGUGCGAAAGCGUGGGGAGCAAACAGGAUUAGAUACCCUGGUAGUCCACGCCGUAAACGAUGUCAAUUUGGAGGUUGUGCCCUUGAGGCGUGGCUUCCGGAGCUAACGCGUUAAAUCGACCGCCUGGGGAGUACGGCCGCAAGGUUAAAACUCAAAUGAAUUGACGGGGGCCCGCACAAGCGGUGGAGCAUGUGGUUUAAUUCGAUGCAACGCGAAGAACCUUACCUGGUCUUGACAUCCACAGAACUUAGCAGAGAUGCUUUGGUGCCUUCGGGAACUGUGAGACAGGUGCUGCAUGGCUGUCGUCAGCUCGUGUUGUGAAAUGUUGGGUUAAGUCCCGCAACGAGCGCAACCCUUAUCCUUUGUUGCCAGCGGUUAGGCCGGGAACUCAAAGGAGACUGCCAGUGAUAAACUGGAGGAAGGUGGGGAUGACGUCAAGUCAUCAUGGCCCUUACGACCAGGGCUACACACGUGCUACAAUGGCAUAUACAAAGAGAAGCGACCUCGCGAGAGCAAGCGGACCUCAUAAAGUAUGUCGUAGUCCGGAUUGGAGUCUGCAACUCGACUCCAUGAAGUCGGAAUCGCUAGUAAUCGUAGAUCAGAAUGCUACGGUGAAUACGUUCCCGGGCCUUGUACACACCGCCCGUCACACCAUGGGAGUGGGUUGCAAAAGAAGUAGGUAGCUUAACCUUCGGGAGGGCGCUUACCACUUUGUGAUU